AGUAACGGCGAGUGAAGCGGCAACAGCUCAAAUUUGAAAUCUGGCCCUAGGCCCGAAUUGUAAUUUGUAGAGGAUGCUUUUGGUGCGGUGCCUUCUGAGUUCCCUGGAACGGGACGCCAAAGAGGGUGAGAGCCCCGUAUAGUCGGACACCAAGCCUCUGUAAAGCUCCUUCGACGAGUCGAGUAGUUUGGGAAUGCUGCUCAAAAUGGGAGGUAAAUCUCUUCUAAAGCUAAAUACCGGCUAGAGACCGAUAGCGUACAAGUAGAGUGAUCGAAAGAUGAAAAGCACUUUGAAAAGAGGGUUAAACAGCACGUGAAAUUGUUGAAAGGGAAGCGCUUGUGACCAGACUUGCGCCCGGUUGAUCAUCCAGCGUUCUCGCUGGUGCACUCUGCCGGGCUCAGGCCAGCAUCGGUUCUCGCGGGGGGAUAAAAGCUUCGGGAAUGUAGCUCCCUCGGGAGUGUUAUAGCCCGCUGCAGAAUACCCUCGCGGGGACCGAGGUUCGCGCUCCGCAAGGAUGCUGGCGUAAUGGUCAUCAGCGACCCGUCUUGAAACACGGACCAAGGAGUCAAGCAUUAGGGCGAGUGUUUGGGUGUAAAACCCGCACGCGUAAUGAAAGUGAAUGUAGGUGAGAGCUUCGGCGCAUCAUCGACCGAUCCUGAUGUAUUCGGAUGGAUUUGAGUAAGAGCCUUACCGCUUGGACCCGAAAGAUGGUGAACUAUGCAUGAAUAGGGUGAAGCCAGAGGAAACUCUGGUGGAGGCUCGCAGCGGUUCUGACGUGCAAAUCGAUCGUCAAAUUUGUGCAUGGGGGCGAAAGACUAAUCGAACCAUUAAAAGUGAAAAAAUAGGUAAUCCAGUAAAGCUACUAGGUGGUUAAGAGGCUGCGAGUCGCAGCCUAGGCUUGGUAGAACAAGCCGACACCGCUAAAUUGCGGGGAACUCCUGCCAUGCCCGGGCUACCGCCGGCCGCUGAAAAGCGCUGCCGGCACGGAGACAUAGUGGUCUCCGGUAUGGUAAUAACGCCUAUGGGAUAGGGAAUAUCCGCAGCCAACCCCGUUCCAGGGGAGAGUUCACAGACUAAACAGCGGUGGGUCCCUGGGCAGCCAGGGGCCUAAGAUAUAGUCGACUCCCGCCGCGAGA
rnacentral:rRNA from 1 species